UUACAAAAGCCAAACAGUGUGCAAAAUAGUCCACCACUAAAAAGUCAGGUCAAGGUGUAGUUAAUUGGGCGGACAGCGAUGGGCUACAUUUUCUAGCAAAGAAGCCCCCAGCAAUAUGAAACAAUGCCAUAAGACGGAUUUAGCAGUAAAUAGAGCAAGAGCCGCUCAAUUGAAGCUCGCCCUGAGACGCGUACACACCGCCCGUCACCCUCCUCAACAACCAAAAACCAAAAUAACUAAGCCACCCCCCCCCAACAGCUACCAGAUGAGGCAAGUCGUAACAUGGUAAGUGUACUGGAAAGUGCACUUGGCAAAAU
rnacentral:rRNA from 1 species